UUGAACUGCUGGGGGCGCGGAUAUCGCUGAGAUAAGGUUUUGCCUUAGUCCCUUUGAACCUGAUGCGGGUCAUGCCGCCGAAGGGAAGCACUCUGCACAUGGG
rnacentral:ncRNA from 1 species